AAAAAGCCAAACCUUGGGUUUUCGUGUCCAACUUUGAUUCGUAUUUUUAUUGUUGUUAGAUAAUAAAACAUGAUUAAUAUUUUAUGCGUGACUUGUCUUUUUAAUUUUUUUCGUAUUUUUUUCAAAUAAGACGGACGGUCAAACGUUGGGCACGGAAACCAGGGUUUGCCUUUUUU
rfam:Oryza sativa Japonica Group DNA, chromosome 11, cultivar: Nipponbare, complete sequence.